rnacentral:rRNA from 1 species
AUUCCAGCUCCAAUAGCGUAUAUUAAAGUUGUUGCGGUAAAAAAGCUCGUAGUUGGAUUUCUGUUGAGGACGACCGGUCCGUACCAUGUACGCGCAUCUGGUUCGGCCUCGGCAUCCUCUCGAUAGACGUUUCUGCGCUUGAUUGCGUGGAGCGGAUUUCGGGACUUUUACUUUGAGGAAAUUAGAGUGUUCACGGCAGGCUAUCGCCAGAAUACAUUAGCAUGGAAUAAUACUAUAGGAUCUCGGUUCUAUUUUGUUGGUUUCUAGACCCGGGGUAAUGAUUAAUAGGGACAAUUGGGGGCAUUUGUAUCAACACGUCAGAGGUGGAAUUCUUGGAUUGUGUUGCGACAAACUACUGCGAAAGCAUUUGCCAAGGAUGUUUUCAUUA